AUGAAACUGAAACUUUGCGGCCUCGGGGCGGCGGCGCAGAAAGCACCCCCGCCCCUGUCCCAGUUGUGGCCCAGCUUCUUUCCGAACAGCAGAGCCAUCACUGCGCCCAAAGCCAUGGCCUCGAACCCCAGCCCACCGUCCCCGCUGCUGGUGCGGGUGUCGGAUCCCGAGGCACCGGUGAAGCGAAAGCUGGAAAAGUACUUUCAGAGCCGGGAGUCUGAUGGCGGGGAGUGCAAAGUCCAGAGGGCCGACCACCUCGGCCAGGGCUACUUUCAUGUGUAUUUCUUGGAUCCCGCAGCUAAAGAGAGAAUAUUGAAAAAAGGAAGUCAUCAUAUUUUGAUUGAAGAGAAAAAAGUAACUAUUUUCCUGGAACCCACUGAAAAUCCAUUAGAGAAAAAUCCCAGACCCAGAAAACCAUCCUUGACACAGUCAUCAGCAGCAGUGAGGCCUGUUGAGAAGCAUCCAAAUGAAGAGCAUAGCCCUAAUGCUGUGGAUUACUGUUUCCAGAAGAUUUUUCUUGAUGUGACAGCUGACCUGAACUGUGACCUGUUUUCUAAAGAGCAAAGGGAAUACAUAACUACUCUCUGCCCCAAUGUCAAAACUAUGAUGGGUAACAAUGGAAUUGAGAAAGUGUGUGGUGACUUGCGAGACAUAGAGAAAAUACACCACUUCUUCAGUAACCAGCUCCUGGAACAUGGGCUGAAACCUGUAUCUUCCACUUUGACAAGGGAUAGCGAACCAUACCCGGAGCCAGGCUGGGGCAGUAGUGUUUCUGCCUUUGAACCAAAGACCAAGUCAAAAGAAAAAAUUGACCAUCUUGAAGUUCCUUUGCUUUACUUUGAAUACUUUAAACUUAACUUUCCUAAUAAAAUAGACCAAAUAGAGGAAAAAUUUGGCAUCAAAAUAAAAAUCCAGAAGAGUUCCUUGAAAAUGGUCUCUUUAGGCUUCAUCUCCCGUCAGUUAGGUGACUCGGGUGCAGCACUACAAUAUUUUGACAGUGAAUUUCAGAAGGCUAUAGAACCUCUACAAAAAGAACAUGUCACAGUAACAGACAGUAAGCUAGCAAAUAAAGUCAAACAAGAAUUGAGUCUCUGCUUUAAAAAUCUCCUUAUCAAAGGGGAAGAAACAGGAUUAACUCUUGUUGGCACUCAGGGUGAUAUUUCAGCUGCCAAACAUCUCGCCUCCCAAGUCUCUGACUAUCUUGCCAAGGUACCAGUAAAAAUAUUGCCUGGGUACAUGGCGAAUGGAAUUGGGGUUGAUAUUGCUCACUAUAAGCUUUUAAAAAGUGAAUUAUGCCAGGAACUAGCAGAAAUAGAAAAAAAAUAUGAUGUUCGAAGUCAUGCUCUUGAUAGCAAUCAGAAAAUCUACAUUCUGUUUGAACCUAAGGACAAAGAAUUAGAUCUGUCUGUGCAUGCUUAUGCAAGUUUCAUUGAUGCCUAUCAACAUUUUGCAAGUCAGCUAAAGAAAGAGAUUCUUUCACUGGAACUUCUGGGCCAGGAGAUAAAGCAUUUACAUGGGAGUAAGUUUGCCAAUGAGUUUAAAAUAUGUCAUCCAUAUAUACACUUUGCACUAAAUCAAGACUCAAUGACUUUGGUUGGGUUGCCAAAUCAACUUACUAAGGCAAAGCAAUAUCUUGUACAAAGAGGAAGGAUGUCUCCAUUAGGAGAGAAAUGGAAUAAGGAUGAUGAAGAACCCAUGGAUAUUGACCGGAAUGAUUCAAAACUGGCUUCAUCAAAAUCUCAGAUUUCUGUCAGUUCUGGGGCUACAGGAGUGGUUGAAGAAAAGGACAUAUGUCCCAUCUGUAUGGAUACCAUUAGUAACAAAAAAGUGCUUCCAAAGUGUAAGCAUGAAUUCUGCACCACUUGUGUUAAAAAAGCCCUGUUAUAUAAACCAUCCUGUCCUUUGUGUCAGACUUUCUAUGGUGUCCAGACAGGAAAUCAGCCGGAGGGAACCAUGGAUGUCUCUUUCUCAAAAAUAUCACUUCCAGGUUAUGAAAAUUGUGACACCAUUGUGAUUAAUUAUAAGAUGAAUGGAGGCAUACAAACAGAGGAGCACCCAAACCCAGGAAAGAGAUAUGUUGGAGUACAUCGAACUGCAUAUUUGCCUGAUAACAAGGAAGGGAAGGAGGUUUUGAAAUUGCUUCAGAGGGCCUUUGACCAAAAACUGAUUUUUACAGUGGGGUAUUCUCGAACAACAGGACAGACUAAUGUCAUUACAUGGAAUGAUAUACAUCACAAAACAUCAAGGGGCGGGGGGCCAGAAAGGUGAGAAUCCAUCAAAACAUGUUGGUUGCUAAACACAAUUAUAGGUAGUGACAGGGGCAGUUGGAGAUGCAUCUGUAAGGACACUAUAGCAGUGUGAUUGGAUAGCUGGGCACCUGCCUUGCUGUGCACUUGGCCCAGGGGUGAGCCUAGGCACUGCAUGGGGAAUGCUGUACUGGCACGAGAGGGAAGCUUGGGUGUUGUGGUGCUUCUCCGUUGUUGUAUGCUUCUCUACCUGAAUGAUAAAAACAGCUCAGAGAAAUAAAGUCACACAUGUACAAGGACCUUUACUUUCUUUUUCUUUUUUAAAGAAUAUUUUUAUUUAUUUAUUAUUGGAUUGAGAUAGAAUUGAGAGGGACAAGGGAGAUAGAGAGGGAGAGAGACAGAGAAACAACUGCAGCCCUGCUUCACCACUUGUGAAGCUUUCCCCUUGCAGGUGGGGACCAGGGGCUUGAACCUGGUUCCUUGAUCACUGUAAUGCUUACACUUAACCAGGUGGGUCACUGCCUGGUCCCAACAAAGACCUUUUCAUACACACACACACACACACACACACACACACACACACACACACACACACCUACCCUUCAUUUGGGAUGAUGACCUCAAAGGCAAAAGCUUGGUUCCCAUCACCUUCUACCCUUCCAGUCAGGAAGUACUAUAGAGUUACUGUAUUUUGCAUCAAAGAUCAGGGGUCUUCAGAAUCCAAGGUGAGUGGUAACUAAUGGUAAUUUAAUUUGUAUUUUUUUUACCUAUUUGGUGAGUGGAUCCUAGGAAUGAUUUACUUUGCCUUAAGCACUGUUCCGUUUACUUCUCCUAUAGGUCUAUGGAGAUCCUAAAUUCAGUUGGCAAAAUAGUACUCUAGAAAAAGUAUUGGUGGGGCUGGAUAGUGGCACACUUGCUUGAGGGCACGUUUUACUGUGCACAAGGACCUAGUUUCAAACUCUCAGUUCCCACUCAGGAGGGAAGCUUCAAGAAUGGUAUGGUUACCCUGAUCUUGACUAUCUGAAACGUGUCAAACAGGAACUGAAAGCUAAAGGAAUUGAGUGAGAAGAAUCCUGGAAGGGUGCUUUUGAACCAAGCUUUUAAACAUAGUCGGAAAAAAUGGAAUAAAUGCUAAUUCUUUCUUUAUAAACAACUUAAAAAAUGUAUCAUCUGAAAAAGUAAUCUGUGUAAGAAUAAGGCUAUUAGUCUGCCAUGUUAUUUGUUUAAUGGAAGACACCCCCCCUCCAGGAUCAGUGUCAGUUUGUUGCAGAGGUGUGUGACUCAUUCUUGUGUCACUGUAUAGGAAAGGCAAGGUGUGGAGGGCUAUGAUGCUGAAAUUAUUUUCUGUGCUACUAUUCCUUUUUAUCCCCAUGUCUAGGUUAUCCUUUUUUCUUUCUUUCUUCCUUCCUUCCUUUCUUUUUUUUGUUGCUUGUUUGCUUAACCCUUUAAUUUACUCUCUAAAAGUAAAAUCCUAGUGUGAUGAUAAGGGGAGAGGCUUUAGUUGUGGAGAACAGGAGUCCCACAAUCCCUUCCCUUUCUCAGGAUCAGAAAAGUGGCCAGAUAUAGAGUUUGGGCAGUCAUUGGCAACAAAUGAAAUACAGCAAUUGUUUUUCAAGACACAUAACCAGCUGGUAAUUUAUAAACCAUUGCUGCCUCACUUAUAUGGCUAAUAGCCCGGGAAGCGGGUGGGGUGGGCCGCGCGAGAGAGUUUCUUAAAUCUUGGGCAGAGACAGGAAUAAGGAAGUUUUAGUUUCAUGUUGCUGAACACUUAACCUCUAAACUCUAAACUUUGACCAGGUUUCUAAUUUGGUUCAUGUUUCCUCUUAAAUCUUAUAAUCUGCUAAGUGGGGUGCACUUACCCUACCUUAAUAGUACCACACACUUCUGAACUUUUCUUCUGUAUAUUAUUAUAGUAAGCAUAUCCUGCUUCUAGUUUGAACAGAUAAAUUGCCUUACUAUAGUUUCCAUAGACUACCAUGUAAAAAAAAAUAGCUGUAUUUCUACUAAAUCCAACCGAGCCAUACUUUUUUAAAAAAAAAUUUUUUAUUUAAGAAAGGAUUAACGAACAAAACCAUAAGGUAGGAGGGGUACAACUUCACACAAUUCCCACCACCCAAUCUCCUUAACCCACCCCCUCCCAUGAUAGCUUUCCCAUUCUCUAGCCCUCUGGGAGCAUGGACCCAGGGUCAUUGAGGGUUGCAGAAGGUAGAAGGUCAGGCUUCUGUAAUUGCUUCCCCGCUGAACAUGGGUGUUGACUGGUCGGUCCAUACUCCCAGUCUGCCUCUCUCUUUCCCUAGUAAGGUGUGUCUCUGGGGAAGCUGAGCUCCAGGACACAUUGGUGGGGUCUUUAUACUCAAACUCUGUGACCCUGGGGGCCAGGCAGUGGCACACCUGCCUAGCUGGGCACAUAUUACAGUGCUCAAGGACCAAGGUUAAAAUCCCAAGUCCCUAGCUGGAGGUGUCUCUCUCUCUCUCUCUCCCUCUCUCACCCCAUUCCCUUUCAGUUUCUCUCUGUCUAAUUAAAAAUUAGAAAUUACAAAAAAUUAAUAAAAAGAAAAAGGAAAAAAGAAUCUGUUAUUCUGAUUCUCUCUUGGAAAAACAAAACAAAACAGCAAUACAACAAGAACUGAUCAUAUUAUAAGGAAUAUAUAGCCCAUCAUAACUUAUUUUCAGGUGGUUCUCCAAAUCACAAGAAAGACAGAAGCAGCAAAAUAUCUGGUUAUCUAUGUCCUAGCCUCUUUCUGAAGAUGAUAAUGUUUGAAAAUGUUGUGUUUUUCUCUAAAGAUAUGCAUACACAUGCAUAUAGGAUUUUUUGUAAGAGAUUAAUAGCUAAUGUUUAUGUGUACUUAUUUUGUCCCUUUUAUAAGAAUAUUGUAUCUGUGUGAUUAAUAUGAUUAUUUUCCCACUUUACAACUGACAAAAUUGAUACAGAAAGGAUAAGUUCACAAUGAUCACAUAGCUAUUAAGUAAAAAUGCCAGGACAUGAAGGAUGGUGUGGCUCCAAAGCUUCUGUACCUUACAGUCAUGUUGCCCAGCAGAAGGAGAUUGACUGCUCUGUAGCAAGCAAGCUGUGGAGUUCCCACUGGUUUGGGGCUUUUCUCAGAAAUGGAUUUCUGUACAAAGUAGUUCUCCUCUAAGGAAAUCUUUUAAAAAAUUUUAGAAACUUUUAAAUAAUGUCUUAAAAAUCAGAUUAUAUCGUUGAUUUUUCGUGAUUCAUUACAGUCACUACAUUUAUGGGAAAUUACUUUGUAUUUUUUAAAGCUAACUCUGCUUCACAAAAAGCAAAAUUUUGCUUCUUAUUAAGUUCUUGAUCUCUGAUCACAAUACGUAUACAUAGGCAACUUUCCUGGUGUGAGUGUUCUGUGAGCCUUUCAAUUACUGCUUUUGCUCUGUGGAAGGGACUAUGUAUUUCUGCUUUAAAUAAAGUUAUAUCCAUUCUAGGAA